rnacentral:rRNA from 1 species
UACGUAGGGGGCUAGCGUUGUCCGGAUUUAUUGGGCGUAAAGAGCGUGUAGGCGGCCAGGUAGGUCUGGUGUGAAAACUCGAGGCUUAACCUCGAGAUGUCAUCGGAAACCAUCUGGCUAGAGUCCGGAAGAGGAGAGUGGAAUUCCCGGUGUAGCGGUGAAAUGCGCAGAUAUCUGGAGGAACACCGGUGGCGAAGGCGGCAUCCUGGACCGGCAUUGACGCUGAUGAGCGAAAGCCAGGGGAGCAAACGGG